AACGAACGCUGGCGGCAUGCCUAACACAUGCAAGUCGAACGAAGGCUUCGGCCUUAGUGGCGCACGGGUGCGUAACGCGUGGGAAUCUGCCCCUCGGUUCGGAAUAACAGUUAGAAAUGACUGCUAAUACCGGAUGAUGACUUCGGUCCAAAGAUUUAUCGCCGAGGGAUGAGCCCGCGUAAGAUUAGGUAGUUGGUGGGGUAAAGGCCUACCAAGCCGACGAUCUUUAGCUGGUCUGAGAGGAUGAUCAGCCACACUGGGACUGAGACACGGCCCAGACCCCGAGGGGGGGAAGCAGUGGGGAAUAUGGGAAAAGGGGCGAAAGCCUGAUCCAGCAAUGCCGCGUGGGUGAUGAAGGCCUUAGGGUUGUAAAGCUCUUUUACCAGGGAUGAUAAUGACAGUACCUGGAGAAUAAGCUCCGGCUAACCCCGUGCCAGCAGCCGCGGUAA
rnacentral:rRNA from 1 species